GACCUCGUGGCGCAAUGGUAGCGCAUCUGACUCCAGAUCAGAAGGUUGCGUGUUCAAGUCACGUCGGGGUCA
rnacentral:tRNA from 1 species